ACAACGGAUCUCUUGGCUCUGGCAUCGAUGAAGAACGCAGCGAAAUGCGAUAAGUAAUGUGAAUUGCAGAAUUUAGUGAAUCAUCGAAUCUUUGAACGCACAUUGCGCCCCUUGGUAUUCCGAGGGGCAUGCCUGUUCGAGCGUCGUCACACCC
rnacentral:rRNA from 1 species